GAUGAACGCUGGCGGCGUGCCUAACACAUGCAAGUCGAGCGAUUCUCUUCGGAGAAGAGCGGCGGACGGGUGAGUAACGCGUGGGUAACCUGCCCUGUACACACGGAUAACAUACCGAAAGGUAUGCUAAUACGAGAUAAUAUGCUUUUAUCGCAUGGUAGAAGUAUCAAAGUUUUUGCGGUACAGGAUGGACCCGCGUCUGAUUAGCUAGUUGGUAAGGUAACGGCUUACCAAGGCGACGAUCAGUAGCCGACCUGAGAGGGUGAUCGGCCAUAUUGUAACUGAGACACGGUCCUAACUCCUACGGGAAGCAGCAGUGGGGAAUAUUGCACAAUGGGCGAAAGCCGGAUGCAGCAACGCCGCGUGAGCGAUGAAGGCCUUCGGGUCGUAAAGCUCUGUCCUCAAGGAAGAUAAUGACGGUACUUGAGGAGGAAGCCCCGGCUAACUACGUGCCAGCCGCCGCAGUAA
rnacentral:rRNA from 1 species